UACGUAGGGGGCAAGCGUUGUCCGGAAUCAUUGGGCGUAAAGAGCGUGUAGGCGGCCCGGUAAGUCCGCUGUGAAAGUCGAGGGCUCAACCCUCGAAUGCCGGCGGAUACUGUCGGGCUAGAGUCCGGAAGAGGCGAGUGGAAUUCCUGGUGUAGCGGUGAAAUGCGCAGAUAUCAGGAGGAACACCUACGGCGAAGGCAGCUCGCUGGGACGUUACUGACGCUGAGACGCGAAAGCGUGGGGAGCAAACAGG
rnacentral:rRNA from 1 species